rnacentral:rRNA from 1 species
UACGUAGGGGGCAAGCGUUGUCCGGAAUCAUUGGGCGUAAAGCGCGUGUAGGCGGCCAGGUAAGUCCGUUCUGAAAGCCCGGGGCUCAACCCCGGGAGGCGGGAUGGAUACUGCUUGGCUCGAGUCCGGAAGAGGCGAGUGGAAUUCCUGGUGUAGCGGUGGAAUGCGCAGAUAUCAGGAGGAACACCAUAGCGAAGGCAGCUCGCUGGGACGGUACU